rnacentral:rRNA from 1 species
UACGUUAGGGUCCGAGCGUUGUCCGGAAUUAUUGGGCGUAAAAGGGGCUCGUAGGCGGUUUUGUCGCGUCGGGGAGUGAAAAACUCAGGGGCUCAACCCUGAGCGUGCUUCCGAUACGGGCAGACUAGAGGUAUGCAGGGGAGAACGGAAUUCCUGGAUGUAGCGGUGGAAUGACGCAGAUAUCAGGAGGAACACCGGUGGCGAAGCGGUUCUCU